rnacentral:rRNA from 1 species
GACGAACGCUGGCGGCGUGCUUAACACAUGCAAGUCGAGCGGAGCGGCGAACGGGUGAGUAACGCGUGAGUAACUGCCCCCCUCUCUGGGAUAAAAGUUGGAAACGGCUGAUAAUACCGGAUAGUGGGGGAUGACUCGGGGCCUAUCAGCUUGUUGGUGGGGUAGUGGCCUACCAAGGCGACGAAGGGUAGCCGGCCUGAGAGGGGGACCGGGCACAUUGGGCUGCGGUAGGGCCCAGUCUCGUACGGGGGGCAACGGUGGGUAAUAUUGCACAAUGGUGGAAACUGUGAGACAGCAACGCCGCGUUCGGGAUGACGGCCUUCUGGUUGUAAACCGCUUUCAGCCAUGACGCGGUAGUAGCAGAAGAAGCACCGGCUAACUACGUGCCAGCAGCCGCGGUAAUAC